ACGGGUGAGUAACACGUGGGUGAUCUGCCCUGCACUUCGGGAUAAGCUUGGGAAACUGGGUCUAAUACCGGAUAGGACCAUCGUUUAGUGUCGGUGGUGGAAAGUUUUUUUCGGUGUGGGAUGAGCUCGCGGCCUAUCAGCUUGUUGGUUGGGUAAUGGCCUACCAAGGCGUCGACGGGUAGCCGGCCUGAUAUGGUGUACGGCCACAUUGGGACUGAGAUACGGCCCAG
rnacentral:rRNA from 1 species